rnacentral:rRNA from 1 species
UAACCUUUUAGGAAGCGGUCGUCGAAGGUGAAACCAAUAACUGGGGUGAAGUCGUAACAAGGUAGCCGUAUCGGAAGGUGCGGCUGGAUCACCUCCUUUCUAAGGAGA